ACACUGCUGAGGAGUCCCAUAGUGGGACGAAACGGCCGUCCAGUGC
rnacentral:hammerhead_ribozyme from 1 species